UAGGGAAUAUUGGUAAUCUGGGAAACCGGGAACCAGCAACGCCGCGUGCGCGAUGAAGGCCUUCGGGUUGUAAAGCGCUUUUUAAAGGGAUGAGGAAGGACAGUACCUUUAGAAUAAGCCUCGGCUAACUACGUGCCAGCAGCCGCGGUAAAACGUAGGAGGCGAGCGUUAUCCGGAUUUACUGGGCGUAAAGCGCGUGCAGGCGGUUUGAUAAGUUGGAUGUGAAAGCUCCUGGCUUAACUGGGAGAGGUCGUUCAAAACUAUCAGACUAGAGAGUGGUAGAGGGAGAUGGAAUUCCGCGUGUAGUGGUGAAAUGCGUAGAUAUGCGGAGGAACACCAGUGGCGAAAGCGGGCUCCUGGCCCAUUUCUGACGCUCAGACACGAAAGCUAAGGUAGCAAACGG
rnacentral:rRNA from 1 species